rnacentral:rRNA from 1 species
GAUGAACGCUGGCGGCGUGCUUAACACAUGCAAGUCGAGCGAAGCGCUUUGAAUUUUUCGGAAUGAGAAGUGACUGAGCGGCGGACGGGUGAGUAACGCGUGGGUAACCUGCCUCAUACAGGGGGAUAACAGUUAGAAAUGACUGCUAAUACCGCAUAAGCGCACGUCAUCGCAUGAUGGUGUGUGAAAAACUCCGGUGGUAUGAGAUGGACCCGCGUCUGAUUAGGUAGUUGGUGGGGUAACGGCCCACCAAGCCGACGAUCAGUAGCCGACCUGAGAGGGUGACCGGCCACAUUGGGACUGAGACACGGCCCAAA